CAAAGGCUGGUUCAAGAUGAGCCCGUGAGAUCCCGAGCGAGAGAUCCCGAGCGAGCGGGACUGGCGCUCUGGGGAGAGUUGAGGUCUGAGUCCUUUCUGUUCCUCUCCAAGCUGGUGUGACCCAAUCAAAUGCUUCCAGUCCUUCAUGCCAAUGGGAGAGCAGAGAUCCGACCCCUUUGAUGCAGGCAGGGAGCCCCCAAGAACUCUUCAGGGCUUCAGAGUCACGAUUUCAAAGAGGAGCUGUGGGUGUGGCUGGCUCCAUUGAGCUGAGCCAGCUUGGGACCUUGACUGAGGCAAGGCUGCAGUCCUCACAGCUCUUGAAAUGAAGCUCCAGCUUCCAGUCCACAUCACCGUGAAGGUGGGACGUCAGAAGAUCGAGGAUCCGCCGAAGCUUGCUGAAGACAGUGAGGUGUGGUCAGACAGUGAGGUGUGGUCAGUGGCUAAGACCCUGAGGCUGCUGUGCAGAGUGGAACCCGUCUGAUCUACUCCAGCCGCUACCUUCUGCCCAUCCUUGCUGCCUAGGGCUGGCGUCAUGCAAGCUGGAAUGUGAUCUCAGGACAGCUCAUUCUUCUCCACCAAAUCUGUGCUGUUUGCUCUUACAAAGCACUGUCAUCUGCUAAACUUUUGCUGGAAAAGCAUGCAGUUUCCGGUGUUCUGAUGUAUUGUAAACAGAUUUGACGAAGCAACAUCUAGGGACCAGGAAGCUGGGUGAACAGCAUGAUCGAGAGAAAACAUGACUUGUGCCAGCUGUAGAGGAAGGCAGAAGAUGUAGGACGCUUGCAUUGAAC